GCGCUCUUAGCUCAGCUGGAUAGAGCAACAGCCUUCUAAGCUGUGGGUCGGGCGUUCGAAUCGCCCAGAGCGCGCCA
rnacentral:tRNA from 1 species